rnacentral:rRNA from 1 species
GACGAACGCUGGCGGCGUGCUUAACACAUGCAAGUCGAACGGAAAGGCCCUGCUUUUGUGGGGUGCUCGAGUGGCGAACGGGUGAGUAACACGUGAGUAACCUGCCCUUGACUUUGGGAUAACUUCAGGAAACUGGGGCUAAUACCGGAUAGGAGCUCCUGCUGCAUGGUGGGGGUUGGAAAUUUUCGGCGGUUGGGGAUGGACUCCCGGCUUAUCAGCUUGUUGGUGGGGUAGUGGCUUACCAAGGCUUUGACGGGUAGCCGGCCUGGGAGGGUGACCGGCCACAUUGGGACUACGAUACGGCCCAGAGUCCUACGGGAGGCAGCAGUGGGGAAUAUUGCACAAUGGGCGGAAGCCUGAUGCAGCAACGCCGCGUGCGGGAUGACGGCCUUCGGGUUGUAAACCGCUUUCGCCUGUGACGAAGCGUGAGUGACGGUAAUGGGUAAAGAAGCACCGGCUAACUACGUG